CUACUUCAGCAGCACAUAUACUAAAAUUAGAAUGAUACAGAGAAGAUUAGCAUGGCCCUCACACAAAGUUGUCAUGAAAAUUCGUGAAGCAUUCCAGAUUUUU